AAAUGUUGCAAACUAUUUAUCUAAUCAUGAUAUGACAUGGCCAGAAAUUGAGGAGAUUUGGAGAAAAACAAUAAACUAUAAGCUACAGUUUAUUACAAAAUAUAAUACUGCAGAAAUAUUUAAUAAAUGGUAACAUUAUACUAAACCAAUGGGAUAUAAGCUUAUAGAUAUUGACUUUCACAAAAUAUAUAGCAGAUACAGUUGUUUUAUAACAAAAUUUGAAGAAGCUUCUUCAAAACUCAUUAAGAUACUGGAUGAACGGAUAAAAGAUUGUUGAAGAAAAAUUAUUAUAGAAAAAUUAAAAAAUACACCAAAUUUAUCCAAUUAUUCAAAAUUUCUGAUAAUAAUGUACUUGUUACACAGUGUGUUAAUUCCUACAUCGAGGAAAGUAACAAGAGACGAGAAUGGAAAAAAAUAUUAUAUCAAAUAUGGGAUCAAAGAUUCUCAAAAUUCAAUUAUUAAAAUUACUAAACAGCAUCAGAAAUGGAAGCCCUUUUUAAAAAAAAUGACGCAGAAAGAAGGCCCUAUCCAACCAUGUAUACUAAUUGUUGGUACAUUAUUCGAUCCUAAUCAAAUUUUAAUAUAUUUUGAUACAGUCAAAUACAUGACUUUUACAAUUUUAAAAGCAUUUGAUGUUUGCUUCAUAAUUUUUCAUGUUUUUAAUGUUGAAUAUCCACA